GUUCUAGUGGUGUAGUGGAAUCACGUUACCUUCACACGGUAAAGGCCCCGAGUUCGAACCUCGGUUGGAACA